rnacentral:lncRNA from 1 species
AUCAGAACCAGAGCCGACCCAUAGCUUAGCUCUGGGCCUGAUGUAUAAUGGGCACUUAAUAAAGAUUUGUUUGAUAAAUGAAUCUGGACAGAUAGAUUUGCCAUCCCUGGAAAAAGAAACUUUAUGGCUGCUCAUAGUCACAAUGAAUUGACAAGGACAUGCACUUUGGGGUCAGAAAGAUCUGGGUUCACGUGCUGGCCCUAUUCCUUACUAAGUAUGUGGCUCAUUUGUUGUUGUUGAGCCACAAAAUAGGAAUAACAAUUCUUACCUUAUGGUGUGCAGUUUGAAUGAGGCAACGUACAUGAGGUACUUUACCUUAGAGUAGUAGAAGCUCCAUGAUGUUAGUUCUGUCUCCCUUCCAUCUACUAGAAAAUCUCACAGACGCAUCUCCAGAAAUGACUUUCUGUUCUCAAUGCCAGUUCCUCUUCCUAUUGCCUCACUUAUUGUCUUGGAUGGAUUUGUGUUUUCUUUUCUCUUUUCUCUCUCUCUCUCUCUUUUUUUUUUUUUUUUUUUGACAUGGAGUCUCGCUCUGUCACCCAGGCUGGAGUACAGUGGUGCCAUCUUGGCUCACUGCAACCUCCGCCUCCUGGGUUCAAGCGAUUCUCUCACCUCAGCCUCCCAAGUAGCUGGGAUUACAGGUGUGCGCCAUUACACCCAGCUCAUUUUUUUUUUUUUUUUUUUUUUUUUUUGGGACAGAGUCUCACUCUGUUGCCCAGGCUGGAGUGUAGUGGUGCAAUCUCAGCUCACUGCAACCUCUGCCACAGGUUCAAGCAAUUCUCUACCUCAGCCUCCCCAGUAGCUAGGACUACAGGUGUGUGCCACUACACCCAGCUAACUUUUGUAUAUUUAGUAGAUACAGGGAUUCACUGUGUUGGCCAGGUUGGUCUCAAACUCCUGGCCUCAAGUGAUCUGCCUGCCUCAGCCUCCCAAAGUGCUGGGAUUACAGGUGUGAGCAACUGUGCCCGGCUAUUUUUUUGUAUUUUUUAGUAGAGAUGGGGUUUCGCCACGUUGACCAGGCUGAUCUUGAACUCCUGACCUCAGGUCAUCCACCUCGGCCUCCCAAAGUGCUGUGAUUACAGGUGUGAGCCACUGCGCCUGGUCGGAUUUGUGUUUUCUUAUGCACAUUAUAUGUUCCCUUUCUCUCUUCCCGUGCCCUCACCCUCACCACCCACCCCCGCCUCCAAUGCAUAAUCACUGGCACAAGCUGCUUCUCUCACCCACUAAACUGAAACUAUCAUGUCUUUUACUAUUUCCAAAUCCAAGAACUUGGCCACAUUCCCCUGGAACAGAGGGCACAGUGCUUGUCAUAGGCACUCAGGUUUUAAUAAUAGCCAGGAUCAUCAAUCAUUCACAAUGCCUCUUUCAUCCACCCCUUCCUUCCAAUUACUUGGCACAUUUGUUUUCACCUCCAAAUUCUAAGAUAAAGGCAUGGAGUAAAUUAUUUGUGGAAAUUAGGUGAGCUGGCUAAGGUCUGUGCCCUGUUGGAUAUA